rfam:Triticum aestivum genome assembly, contig: Triticum_aestivum_CS42_TGACv1_scaffold_001135_1AL
AUGGAAGUGAGGAUCCUUUCCCCAGCUGAUCGACAAUGAUUGUACUGUGCGCAAAUGUUAUCCUUUAUCAGAGGAUUCCAAGCCAGAAAUCUGAUCCAU